UCUGUCUCUCACUGUCUUCCUCAGUCUAACACAUGCUUAGCCUCUUCAAAAAUUGUUCAUUGUCUCUUUUUCUGUCCAUGCUCAUAUAUCUCCUAUUCAGGUUUUGACUGGUACUAAAUUCAUGUGAGUGCUAUUGCUGUAGUAUCUGACAUUGAUCACCUCAGAGAAAGUGUCUGUUCAAACCCUCUCUGGUCAUUGAACACAAGCAUAACCUGUAGUCCCUGAGACAUAUGUAAUUAUAAACAGCAUGAUCCUAAGCAUACAGCACACUUCCAUAAUCAAUUGGAAACACAAUUUCUUGUUGAAAUUUUCUUGGAGAAAGAACAAUGUCUAUGAUUAGAGGACUUACCAUCAGCCCCAAAACACAUAGAAAAUGCCAAGUUAAACUUCAGCAAGGCCACAUCAAAAACCAUCAGGAAAGAUAAUCCCACAGACACUCCAUGCCUAUCUUGUACAGCCAUACUAAAAUAUAAAAUUCCUAGAAGGACUGUGUGUAACAACAACUUGCAUGCUCACAUACUUAGAUCCUAAAAGAGGACGAGAUGUAUGUCCAGACCAUAUUUGGUACUGUCAAUCCAUAAGAACUGCUGGCAAAAUAGCUGCAUAGACUGACAAAAAAUGUCCCAACAAUAAACAUAGAAACUAGGAUUAAAAUGGGUGUCCUCCAUACAUCCAUGAAGGUUGUAUGGAUCCUGGGACAUUUCAAAGCAUGCACUUCUAGAAGCCACCGACAAGAAGGUUACAUGCCAACACUUUAAAUUCCAAGGCUCUCUUUCCACCCUAAUUGCCAUGGCCACAAUCAUUCUUUCAAGAAAACAGAGCUUUGUUUUCACACAGGAAGAGUCCACAUUCCCAUAGUUCCUGAGAAUUGCUACUGCCACAUUCCACAUGUUUCCUGUAACCUUCCCGUUAUGUAUGUCUGUUUUAUGAAACAGAAGGGUUACCAUUCAUGCAAAGGCUUCAGACAGGGACAGAAACACAUUUCCUGAUAUUCCAGUGUACAUUGUGGAGCUAUGCUGUCCCUGCUAAACUUACAUUUGCCUCACAGCCUACUGUACAUUAUUGCUGGAUGGAGUUGGUAGGGCUAACUUCCAAGAUACUGACAAUGAUAUCCUCAACAAGAAAGCAUGUUAUCACUACAAUAAAAGGUGAAGCCUUGAUAUAGGCCAUGAUUACUGGUGAUUUAGGCAAGCAAAGAACAUUCUGAAGACUCUCUCACUAUCCAAAUUUCACAAGAUGAAUGGAGGCCAUGUGAGUCCCUCAGUGACAUUUGCGAUCCCAGGUGCUGGAACUCAGUCAAGAUGAUAGUGGCGGUAUUGAGUUUUCACUCAUUUUGUUCAGCUUUCAAGGAAUGUUUUAUUGGAAAUCAUCAUCGAUCCAAGCACGCUGGUGUACCCCCUGCCAUGACACUUAGUGUACUCAAA
rnacentral:sRNA from 1 species